rnacentral:lncRNA from 1 species
AAUGCAAGGUAUGUGGGAAGUCCUUCAAGCGUGAAUCCAACCUCAUUCAACAUGGGGCUGUUCAUGCCGGUGUGAAAUCAUAUGAGUGCAGUGAGUGUGGGAAAGCUUUUAUUCACCGCUCAAGCCUGUUCCACCAUCGGAAAAUUCAUUCUGGUGAGAAACCUUUUAAGUGUCAGGAGUGUGGAAAGGCUUUCGUUGUUCUGGCAUACCUCAUUCAGCAUCAGAGCAUCCAUAAUGGAGAGAAAUCAUUUGAAUGUGAGCUGUGUGGGUCAGCCUUCAGAUGUAAAUCCCAACUCAAUAAACAUCAGAGAAUUCAUACUGAUGUGAAACUCUUUCAGUGUGUGGAAGAUUGAACAGAUAUUGUUCAUGGAACAGAGCUUGGAAUACAUCAGGGAAUCCAUACUGGUGAGAAGCCCAUUCAGUGUAAUGAAUAUGGGAAGCUUUUUAAUACCUUUAUAAAAUUCUUAGAUAUAUUAGAAUUCAUACUGGCAAGAAUCAUCAUGAACAUAAAGAAUGGGAAAUACUUUACAUGUGGUAGAGACCGUAAAGUACAUCAAAGAAUUCACACUCAUAAGAAACAUUACCACUGUUAAGAAUGUGUGAUGACCUUUAGUUGAAUAUGAAACUUGUUUUGACAUUCUAAAUAGAUUAAAAAGCCUUAUGAUGAUGUAAGGAAUAUGGAAAGGCCUACAGUAAUUCUAAGCUAUCUGUAUAUCAGAG